CCUUACAAAAAUUAUCGAUGAGUUUCAAUUGAGUUUCUAAUGUACACAUCAAGAACUUAAUUGAAACACAUUGAUGAUUCUUGUAA
rnacentral:pre_miRNA from 1 species